rnacentral:rRNA from 1 species
GCGCGAAAACUUCGCAAUGUGCGAAAGCACGACGAGGGAAUCCCAAGUGCUAGCUCGUAAGAGUUAGCUGUUUUUAUGUCUAAAACGCAUAGAGAGUAAGAGCUGGGUAAGACGGGUGCCAGCCGCCGCGGUAAUACCUGCAGCUCGAGUGGUGGCCGCUAUUAUUGGGCCUAAAACGUCCGUAGCCGGUUUGUUAAAUGCCUAGGUAAAUCGUAUAGCUUAACUAUACGAAUUCUGGGUAGACUGGUAAACUUGAGACCGGGCGAGGCUAGAGGUACUCCUGGGGUAGAGGUGAAAUUCUGUAAUCCUAGGGGGACCACCAGUGGCGAAGGCGUCUAGCUAGAACGGGUCUGACGGUGAGGGACGAAGCCCUGGGGCGCAAACGGGAUUAGAUACCCCGGUAGUCCAGGGUGUAAACGCUGCUUGCUUGAUGUUAGUUGGGCUUCGGGCCCAAUUAGUGUCGGAGAGAAGUUGUUAAGCAAGCUGCCUGGGAAGUACGGUCGCAAGACUGAAACUUAAGGAAUUGGGCGGGGGAGCACCGCAACGU